rnacentral:rRNA from 1 species
AGCGAACGCUGGCGGCAGGCCUAACACAUGCAAGUCGAACGAACUCUUCGGAGUUAGUGGCGGACGGGUGAGUAACACGUGGGAACGUGCCUUUAGGUUCGGAAUAACUCAGGGAAACUUGUGCUAAUACCGAACGUGCCCUUCGGGGGAAAGAUUUAUCGCCUUUAGAGCGGCCCGCGUCUGAUUAGCUAGUUGGUGAGGGAAAGGCUCACCAAGGCUACGAUCAGUAGCUGGUCUGAGAGGAUGACCAGCCACAUUGGGACUGAGACACGGCCCAAACUCCUACGGGAGGCAGCAGUGGGGAAUCUUGCGCAAUGGGCGAAAGCCUGACGCAGCCAUGCCGCGUGGAUGAUGAAGGUCUUAGGAUUGUAAAAUCCUUUCACCGGUGAAGAUAAUGACUGUAGCCGGAGAAGAAGCCCCGGCUAACUUCGUGCCAGCCGCCGCAGUAACAC